rnacentral:rRNA from 1 species
AUACGGAGGGUGCAAGCGUUAUCCGGAAUCAUAGGGUUUAAAGGGUCCGCAGGCGGAUUAAUAAGUCAGUGGUGAAAUCCUCUCGCUCAACGAGAGAACUGCCAUUGAAACUGUUAGUCUUGAAUUCGGUCGAAGUAGGCGGAAUGUGUCAUGUAGCGGUGAAAUGCAUAGAUAUGACACAGAACACCGAUAGCGAAGGCAGCUUACUAGACCUGGAUUGACGCUCAUGGACGAAAGCGUGGGGAGCGAACAGGAUUAGAAACCCCGGUAGUCC